ensembl:lincRNA Gm15907 predicted gene 15907
GAGAGAGAAAGGGAAGGAGGGAAAGGGAAAUGGAGAUGAGACAGAGACAGACAGACAGAGAACACACAUGUGUCCACACAUCCAUGUGUGUACAUCCAUGUGCAUGUGUACAUGCUUGUGUGAUUUCCCUUCUGUGAAUCCAAUGUAAACCCUUAGGCAUCUCUUGCCUAGCAACAUUUCACAAUGACUGCUUAACUACCACCCCAGCUCAGCAGCUGCCCCUAUCCACUACGGAAUCAAGAAUGGGAGGUCCUGUGCAUGGGUUUCCUGUGAAAGUUCAUAUUGAAACGACUGACAAAUCUUUCAAUGAAAGAUCACUUGCAGGAGCAGAGGCAACAGACCAAGGAAACACAACUGCAGAACAGAAGGGCCUGAAGUCCGUCAAGAGCAGACUCUGAGGAACCUCAGUGUUUCCUGAGGUCUGUGUGAGAGAAUGAACCGGAGAAGCUGAGGUAGAGGUGGGAGAAAGGACACCCAGGUUUCAAAACUUAAAACCUAUAUUCGGGUUAUGUUCAUCUACCUUGACAAUAUCUGCUGCAGAGGAAUCCAAAGUCCUCACUUCUACUGUGCCAGGGAAGGCGCCGGGAGGCUGAGGUCCCUGAUGUCAGACACAGGCACCCACUCUCAGAGCUGCACACCGGUUGUUAGUCUACACUGCAAUGCUAGCCGGCUGCCUCCCUCUCUCUUCUAUCUGUGAAGAUCAUUUACACGCAGAAGGGCAUCUCAGCUCUGUAGGAGCACUCUCUGUGUGUAUGGGGUAUGGCAAGAAGGAUAUUUGUUUCAGACUUGAUAAUCUUAGGGGCUUAUCAAAAUCGUAAGAGAAGGUGUGUAUGUGUGUGUCCACGCUAAGAAUGAGAGGUUAGACGUCAACACGGAUGAGCAGAUCUCUCUGCAGUAAGAUGGCCUCCUUCGGGGUGUAUGCACAGAAGUGGUAUAGCAGGAUCUUGAGACUUCUGAAGGACUCCCCGUUCCUCCAGCAGUGCAUGGGUGUCCCCAUUCCUGUACCCUCCCUAGCAAUGCUGCCACACCUUUUGUUCAUCUCUCUGCCAUUUUGACUAGGGUAAGGUGACAUCUCAGAGAACUUUAAAUUGCACUUCCCCGAUGACUAAGGUUGUCAAACAUUUUCUUAAGGGGUUUCUCGGCCAUUUUCGUUUCACCUUUUGAGAACUCACUCACUGGGAUGUUUUCCUGAUGUUCGGGUUUUUAAAAUUCUUUAUAUAUUCUAGAGCAGUGGCUCUCAACCUCCCGAAAGCUGCAACCCUUCAAUACAGUUCAUGUUGUGAUGACCUCUCACCAUAAAGUUGUUUUGUUGCUACUUCAUAACUAUGAUUUUGUGACCAUUAUGAAUUCCAAUGUAAAUAUCGGAUAAGCAGGCUGUUUGCUAUGUGACCCCCUAAGGGGUCAUGAUCACAGGUUGAGAACUGCUGUUCUAGCUAGUAACGCUCUAUACUUGGUAAAGAUGGGCUAUCAGCUGCUUUGCAUGAAUGAUGGUGUCUUUUUUUUUUUGUACAAAGCUUUUCAACUUUAUGAAAUCCCACAUAUUAAUCAUCUUACUGAGGAUGCUACCAGUUCAUGAAGUCCUUCUCUCUGCUAAUGGGGUACUUAGUGUAUAGCUCGGCCUUCGCCCCAGGAGCUUCCUGCAGUAGACGGUAAUUAACAGAGAUCCAGAGCUGGACAGGAGAGACUUGGGAAGCACUGAGUAGUCCUACACGGGGUAUCUGCUAUCAAACUCUCCCCGCAAGGCUCAGGGUCUGUGCAGAGGGACCAGAAAUACUGUAAGGGCCACAGGUGGGGAGUAACUCCAUGGCAACAGUGUCUUCCAAGCACGGCAGGGCUGCUGCACAUCUAAAUUCAGAGACGAUGAGUGCACGCGCAAGAGCUCGCAAGUUCAAGUCAGACAAAAUCCCAACACAGGGAAGGAGAAGUGGGCACGAAGGCCGAUGCCUGGCCAAGAAGCUACCUGAAACUGAUACUGCCUGGGAGAGGGAAAAUCAGUUUUCCCCAAUGGGAUAACACUGUGUGCAUACCAACUCCACUCUAAGGCAGGCCUCACGCUCUGGAGUAGUUAGCUAACUCGAAAGACUCCAUGGUUGGUCUGGUUGUUGUUGUUGUUGUUGUUGUUUAUGUUGUUUUGUUUUCUUGUUUUUCUUUUUUCUUUUUACUUUUUGGGAGAGAAAGACAUGAAGUUGGAUGAGUAAGGAGUGGGGGGGAGGGCCUGGGAGGAGUUUGGGGAGGACAGAGAAUAUGAUAAAAAUAUAUUGUAUGAAAAAUUUUAUAAGUAAUUAAAAAAACUAACUUAUAA